rnacentral:tRNA from 1 species
GGUAGGGUGGCUGAAUUAGGCGUGAGGCUGUAAAUCUCAACAUGGAGAAAUAUUUCCCCCUAUCAGUUU